GGCCCGCUGGCCAAAUGGUAAGGCGUCAGAUUUCGGUUUCUCGAGAGAAAGACCAGAAAGAUCUCUGAAGAUUGGGCGUUCGAGCCGCCCGUGGGUCG